GUGGAUUAGAUACCCUAGUAGUCCACGCCGUAAACGAUGAAUACUAGGUGUUGGGGUACAAAAGUACCUCGGUGCCGUCGCUAACGCAGUAAGUAUUCCACCUGGGGAGUACGUUCGCAAGAAUGAAACUCAAAGGAAUUGACGGGGACCCGCACAAGCGGUGGAGCAUGUGGAUUAAUUCGACGCAACGCGAAGAACCUUACCUGCUCUUGACAUCCCUCUGACCGGACAGUAAUGUGUCCUUUCCUUCGGGACAGAGGUGACAGGUGGUGCACGGUCGUCGACAGCU
rnacentral:rRNA from 1 species